rnacentral:lncRNA from 7 species
UUGGGGUAAAUGGGAGAUUUCUGAAGAGAAAUUGCGUUUUUAUCAGGUUAAAUGGGGAUUCUCGAAGAGAAAAUGCAGGACUUUCCGGUUAAAUGGAGGAUUUUUUGUGGUAAAAAUGCAUGGCUUUCAGGUUAAAGCGGGAAU